rnacentral:rRNA from 1 species
UACGUAGGGUGCGAGCGUUGUUCGGAAUCAUUGGGCGUAAAGCGUGAGUAGGUGGUUUGCUAAGUCGGGUGUGAAAUCCCUGGGCUCAACCCAGGAAGUGCAUUCGAAACUAGCUGGCUAGAAGAUGGUAGAGGAAGGUGGAAUUCCAAGUGUAGAGGUGAAAUUCGUAGAUAUUUGGAGGAAUACCGGCGGCGAAGGCGGCCUUCUGGACCAUUCUUGACACUGAGACACGAAAGCGUGGGUAGCAAAC